rnacentral:misc_RNA from 1 species
AAAUGGUGCUACCCAGCUCAAGCCUGGGCCUUUGAAUCCGGACACAAAACCCUCUAGCUUGGAAAUGAAUAUGCUGCACUUUACAACCACUGCACUACCUGACUCAGGAAUCGGCUCUGGAAG